rnacentral:rRNA from 1 species
UACGUAGGGUGCGAGCGUUGUCCGGAAUUAUUGGGCGUAAAGAGCUUGUAGGCGGUUUGUCGCGUCUGCUGUGAAAAUCCGGGGCUCAACCCCGGACUUGCAGUGGGUACGGGCAGACUAGAGUGUGGUAGGGGAGACUGGAAUUCCUGGUGUAGCGGUGAAAUGCGCAGAUAUCAGGAGGAACACCAGCGGCGAAGGCGGCGCUCUGGGCCGGAACUGACGCUGAGGAGCGAAAGCGUGGGGAGCGAACAGG